GUGGACAUAAAUAAAUGAUAUUCAUUUAUUGAAAUUGAUAGAGUACAUUAAUACAAUGCAAAUUUGCUAAAAACAACGAGAUGAAUUUGCGAACAAACUCACAUCAUCCAUGUUAAUAGCAUAAAACGACAAAGUACGAACGCCUACACACAUGACUAUAUUAAAGUCUCUGGAAUACCCAUGUCUAUGUCUCUGGAUCAGCAACGUGGAGGACAUCAAAGUCGUUGAUUGAAUUUGCAUUGGAUCGAAACCAAUAUGACAAUCUGAACCGAACCAAUACCUGAGCAAAACAAGAAAGACAAACAGCGCCACACAAAGACGACAAACACUCCCACGUCGCACUAAGACGACGAAAUCACAAAAUAAAAGAACGAAAUAAAUGUGGAAAUCACUUAUUUUAAUAAGAAAGGAAAGAGAAAAACGAGAUACAGAGGUGAUUUUGGAUCAAAAAUUGACCUUAAAUCACCCCUCUUUAUUGAUGAAGAAGAAGAAACUAGAGUUUUGGUGACGACAUACAAGAAAAGAAAUGAAAAAGAGACUAGAGUACACUUCUGUUUUGAAAACACAAAACAACAACAACAACAAAUUCAAGAUUAAUGACCAAGCUCACACAGUAUUAUUGGUGGUCAUGAUGACAUGCAUCAACCAAUAAUUCUAUUAUGUUGAAGAAACUUCCUAAACCACCGGGCAGAGAGCUUAGGGUGUCUUGUAAGAUGACCAUUCUCAUAAUCAACAAAGUUAAUUCCAAAACGCACAGUGUAUCCGUCAUUCCAUUCAAAGUUGUCCAAAAGGGACCAUGCAAAAUAUCCUUGUACCUUCACACCUUGCCUUCACACAAGAAACAAAAAAAAACAAUAAUAUAGUCAAAAUUAAAUGCAUAAAACUAAAAAAUUAGAGUGCGAAAAUAAUAUAAUUGAUUCUGAUUUAAGUAAAUAGAGGGUGCUACCUCAUUGCAGAUAAAAGAUAAUAUAGAUGACGAUAAAAGUAAUCAAUUCUGUUAGUAUCCAUGAGUGCCUCUUCCAGUGAUAGCGUUGGAUCAUUGACUUCAUUCAUACCUAUGAUUUAAAUUUAUUAGAAUUUUCAAAUUUUAGUUUAUUAGACACUGAAAAAAGGAUAAUGAUUCAUAAUAAAAGAAUGUAAUAUAAAUAUUACCAUUUUCUGUUAUGAUAAUCGUAGGAUUGUUAUACUUUUCCUUUGUGUACAACAGUAGGUCCUGAAUACCCUUUGGACAAACAUAUAACCAAGUUGCAGCCUGCACAUAUUGUUUAGUUAUUAUUCUAUCAAUCAAAUAAGAUGUAACAAUAAUCUCAAGAGAGUCUUACUCACCCAUGCUCCAAUGUAUGUCCCAUCUUUAUUCUUAUCUGUCAUGAAUCAUACCAGAAAACAAUUUAUGUCAAACAAGGAAUCAUAGCAAAAAUUGAUUUUUCUAUUAAUGAUUUAUGCCAUCUUCAUUAGGAGUGGUGUGAAAGGUGUUCUUACCUGUUAAAGUCACAUUAACAAUUUUGAAAACACUAUUGACGCCGUCAGCGCCGCCCGAUGGAGACUGUAUAGGAAUUGGUUUCGUUGCAUUGGCAGCAUACAUGCUGGUGUAGUAAUUGAUUCCAAUAAAAUCAUAUGACCCAAUAAGACUCUUAGAUUGCUCUGCAGUGAACUUUGGUAGCUUAUCUCCCACAUAAGACACCAAGCUUGCUGGAUACUCUCCUGUUGUCAGUGGCUGUAUAAACCUGCAAACAGAUAAAGAAGAUUUUAAAUUAUACGGUCACAAUUUUGUCGCGAUCCAUGGUUGUUGUAGAAACGGUCAAAAAGUAUAGUUGUUACCAUCCAAACAUGAAAUCAAGGGCGUCUUCAGCGGCUUUUUGAUCUAAUGGGUCAGUUGAGUAUGGUUUAAACCAGUGAGAGUUUAAUCCAAUGCCUAUUACACCAUUUUGAGCCUGAUAUGUGGUUUUAUACAAUUCGAAAACAUCUGCAUGAGCAAGAAGUUGGUUGUGUGUGGACUUGUACCAAUCUGAUGUACUCAAAGUGUAAGAGAAUGGCUCAUUAAAAGUAACCCAAUGCUUUACACUGUCUCCAAAUUCCUUGAAGCAUAUAUCCACAAAGUCCUUAAAAUCUUUUCUGCAUAUAGAAAUUAAACAAUCAACUAUGGGAAUAAAAAAAAUGUUAUAAUGCUCUAUCCUCAAUUUAUUAUUUCUUGAAUGAGUGAGUGGUGUGUGUGGAGAUCAUUCUAAUCUCAGUACAUAAAGUUCUGAAGUAUCCAAAACAUUCUAAUCUUUCUCGCAAUUCUGUAUGUGCAUUUUCUAUCAAAUUUGUGUCACGAUACUUACCUAAUAUUCUCGCUGACAAAGCCUCCAUAAUCAUCUUGUAAGGCCUGGGGAAGAUCCCAAUGAAAAAGGGUCACAUAUGGUAUUUGACCUGGAUCAAUAAUUCCAUCAAUUUAUAUUAUUAUGAGUAUGAACAUCAUGAAUAUGAUAUACUAAUAAAGUAUGGAAUAUUAUGCAUUACCAUUAGCAAGUAGCUCAUAGAUCAGGUUCUUGUAAAAUAUGAUUCCUGCUUGGUUUACACCGUCACUUAUUUUUCCAGCUGCAUAUUUGUUAGAGUUGUUAGUGUAUAUGGAAAAUACAACUAGUUGAAACUCAUUAAUGAUGUAACCAAAUUAAACAUUUUCUAUUACUUGGAACUAUCCUUGGCCAAGAUAUGGAGAAUCUGUAUGCAUCUGUAUUCAUAUUCUUCAUGAUUUGAACAUCUUCCUGUUAAGAUGUAACAAUGGUUAACACAUAUACUAGACAAAAAAAUUAGAGAUUCAUAAAGUAAAAUCUAUAAUUGAUGUUGAAUUCUUAAACAUCAAUGAUGUAACAUUAUAUCUCUUGCAUGUUCCUCAAUGCAAUAGUUUUUUGAACUAGUAACAUUAUUACAAUGAUGUGAAAUUUACAAGAACAAGGGAAUGUCGUAAGUCUUGAUACUUGGAAACCGGUAAUACAUGCUUUGGAAAAAGGGCUUGGUGGGUGGAGCAAUCGGUUUGUGAGUUUUGGGGGGGGGGGGGGGGGUGUGACUUCAAAUUGUGUGUGGUGCCUGGGUAUUCAAGAGGUGGAGGAACACUUAUUUUGUAGAUAUAGAUUUGUUGGAAGGAUUUUGUAUGCAAUUUUUAAAUGGAUUGGAGCAGGGAUGAUUUUACCGUUAAUAUUGUUUCACUCCUUUAAUAUUUUUCAUCAUAUUCUUUGGGGAAAAAAAACAUCGAAAAGGGCUUACUCUCAUUUGACAUGCAACAAUUUAGCAAAUUUCGGAAGCUCGGGAUGAAAUAAUUUAGCAAAGAAAAAUUAUAGAUUUAAUUCAUAUGCACUAAUAGUAUACAUUUUUUUUACAUUGUCAAUCUAUUAUAACCUUUUCAUCACUAAAUAUAACCUUUUGAUCACUAAAAUUAUUUGAUGUACAGUUACAAUUUGUAUCAAUUAAUCUGAAAUUAUAUAUCACAUUAGAGGUACCUUAUAACGAUGAUAGUGAUCAAUAGCUACAUCUGCAUUCUUUCCAUCCUUUACCAUCCCUGUAUGCAGUUACACCAAUUACCACAUUAGAAGAAAAAUAUGAUUCCAGCCAUUAGCCACAUGGAGUGGCAUUAGAGUUAUCAAAUUAAUUAUAUAUAUAUAUAUAUAUAUAUAUAUAUAUAUAUAUAUAUAUAUAUAUAUAUAUAUAUAUAUUUGUCGUUGUUUCUGUUUCUUUUCUUCAAUAUCUAACAGGAAAUAACUACAACAAAAAUAUUCUAUUAGAAUUCUAAUACAAAAACUUGUGUUGUCAUUAAUAGUUUUUUUUUUACACUAUCGGUAGAAAUUGUGUGUGUUAAGCACGCCUUACAUCUUACGUGUACAAACAUGAAGUCCUAUGACUUGUCUAUAUAUCUUGAGACUUAUUUACAUUCAUCAAAACAUAUAAAUCAUCUGAAAGUUUGGUAACAAAUUAAAGUCUCAUUUCUUGUUCAUGUAGACUGAUUAUAAUUGAGAGUAUGAGUAGCUAAAUAGGGUUGACCAAAUUGAUAAAAAAAAAAUUGAAGGUCUUGGGUUCAACUCUGAACGAGUCCAAAAUUUCCACCACGACACUAUCCAAAUCACACCACUACAACCACCUUGCAAACCAACACCACCUGUGAACCACUACUACCUACCAAUUAGGUGUGGUCAUGAUUUGUAAGGCGCUUGUAGCCUAUCCACUAUCUAGGUUUUUGGCUAGACAAGAUAGUAUCAAUAAAACUAUAAUUAUUGAAGAAAAAAAAAUAUAUGUAUACCUGGUGUAUGGGCAAAUAUAUCCCAUGUACCCUUUCCUCUUCCGUCUUCACUUACAGCACCUUCAUACUACAUUAUCAACACAAAAAUUAUACCGUUGAUAGAUUAACCUCCAAUUCUUUAGAUUCAAUAAUAUAACUCAUACAUAAUCAAUACUCCAUAAUAUAAAUCAGCUACAUCAUUUACUCAAUGAAUCAGAAAAUGAAUUUUUUCUUAUAUUUUAGAUCGGAAGAAGUAUUACUUUCUGUUUCUCUAAAUUUAUGGACUUUCAAGCAUUUUUUUAAGACAUGUUUUUUCUUUGGCCAAUCUUAUAGCAUUAGGAAUUAAACAUAUUAUUUUUGGUGCACGACUGUUACAAAAAGCAAAAGCAUACAUUAAAUAUGCAUGAAUUUUAUUUUUAGUAGUACUUCAUAUUUUUGUCCAAAUUGAAAAAGAUCAAAAGAACGAAGAUGGAGAGAGAUAUGUCUUAGCCUUUACUACUAGAAAAAGCAAAAUUAGCGAGGGAAAUUAAUGACGGAAAAAAUGAAAUUCCUCACAAAUUUCUUGAUCGUAAAAUUUAGUGACGAAAUUAGAGAGAGAUUUUACAUUUUCCCUCACUAAAUUUAGUUCUUUUAGUAGUGCUUUAUGGUAAUCUAAUAAAAAUGUGAAGCAAUGAUUAUGCAUAUUUCCACAUGCAUAGUAACAUACACACAAUGUUACAAAACGUACCUGGUAAUUGGAGGAGCCAGUACCAAAAACAAAACCUUCCGGAAAACUGCUCCGAUUUAGCUCAAAACUAUCAGCAUACGUAGAGACAAUAACAGGUUCUGCCCCUAAAAUAAACAUUAAAGAAAUUAUUAUGAGAAAAAAAAUCUUUUUAUAAUGUUAAUAAUAAUAUUUUAUUGUCAUUUUUUAAUUGAAUUUUAUCGUUCUUGGUUUUGUCAAUGUUGGUAACUAAAUCAGUCCCUAAAGAAAUCCUCUUGUUCGCUUUUUGUAACUUUUUUUCUCCCCCUUUCUUUGUUUUCUUUAUUUUUGCCUUUUUAAGAGGGUUCUAAUAAAAAGAGGCAAUGAAUCCUACAAAUCGGUAUUGUGAACAAUGUUACCAUGAUUAGUACCUUUGUCCACACAACCAUGACCUUUCCCCGAAAACAAGAAUGAAAUAAUAGAUUCAACCAUAAACAUCAAAUGUGGUCGAUGAGUAUCACAUAGAUUCUUGAACGCAAUUCUAGAUUAUGAAUUGUCCAUUCCCCUAAUGUUACAAUAGAGAAACUUCUUUGAGAAGAAUUUGAAGGUGGACCCUUAGAAAACUCCAUUGAGGAGAAUUUUGGUCUAACUAUUUAAUCUCUAAGAUUGCUAAAAUAAAAACUUUUAGUCAUCAUAUAUUCCAAAAAGAAAAAAUAUAUUUAAGGCAAAUCAAAAUUACGCAACAUGAAAUACAAAUACAAAUAAUUACAAAUCACCUGAUUGCACCGUACUUGACGAUAUUUCCGAAUGUGGUCUCUUUCUCUUUGGAGGGGGUGGUCUG
rnacentral:lncRNA from 1 species